UACAGAGGUCCCGAGCGUUGUUCGGAAUUACUGGGCGUAAAGGGCUCGUAGGCGGCCAACUAAGUCAGACGUGAAAUCCCCAGGCUCAACCUGGGAACUGCGUCUGAUACUGGAUGGCUUGAAUCCGGGAGAGGGAUGCAGAAUUCCAGGUGUAGCGGUGAAAUGCGUAGAUAUCUGGAGGAAUACCGGUGGCGAAGGCGGCAUCCUGGACCGGCAUUGACGCUGAGGAGCGAAAGCCAGGGGAGCAAACGGG
rnacentral:rRNA from 1 species